rnacentral:rRNA from 1 species
ACGGAAGGCAGCAGCUAAGAAUAUUCCGCAAUGGACGAAAGUCUGACGGAGCGACGCCGCGUGGAUGAUGAAGGCCGGAAGGUUGUAAAAUCCUUUUAUGACUGAGGAAUAAGUAUGGUGAGAGAAACGCCAUAUGGUGACUGUAGGUCAUGAAUAAGCAACGGCUAAUUACGUGCCAGCAGCCGCGGUAACACGUAAGUUGCGAGCGUUGUUCGGAAUUAUUGGGCGUAAAGGGCAUGUAGGCGGUUUUGCAAGCUUGGUGUGAAAUCCCGGAGCUUAACUCCGGAAUUGCGUUGAGAACUGCAUAACUAGAGUCACUGAGGGGCAAUCAGAAUUCCAGGUGUAGGGGUGAAAUCUGUAGAUAUCUGGAAGAAUACCAAUGGCGAAGGCAGCCUGCCAGCAGAUGACUGACGCUGAGGUGCGAAGGUGCGGGGAGCAAACAGGAUUAGAUACCCUGGUA